rnacentral:tRNA from 1 species
GGCCGAUCUGGAGCAGGCCCAGCGCGUGCAUUUCAAGCGUGACCUGGGCUUUGCGCUGCGCCUGUUCGACUCGGGCGCGCGGCUG